GAUCCUGGCUCAGGAUGAACGCUGGCGGCGUGCUUAACACAUGCAAGUCGAGCGAAGCGCUUAAGUUUGAUUCUUUGGAUGAAGACUUUUGUGACUGAGCGGCGACGGGUGAGUAACGCGUGGGUAACCUGCCGUCAUACAGGGGGAUAACAGUUAGAAAUGACUGCUAAUACCGCAUAAGACCACGGUACCGCAUGGUACAGUGGUAAAACUCCGGUGGUAUGAGAUGGACCCGCGU
rnacentral:rRNA from 1 species